AUCUUCAUGAAGACUGUCAAAUAGUAGGUGUGAUGGUUUAAUUCUGGGUGGCCGCUGUGUCCCCACUCUUUCUUGGCCGCUGUGCCUACAUCUCUCUGCAUUGUCCAACAUGGCCACGUUCUUUCUAUUCUCCUGCUUUACAUCAGUCAAAUAGCUGAAGGUUGUACAUGGAGCAUUUGCCACAGGUUGGUUUUGUAUGUUCCGGUCCACUUUGUUGGGUGGUCUGUAAAUCUGGUCCUUGUUGGUUAUAUUUUUGUGGAACUGCUGAGCGAGUGAUUUGAAAGAAUGAGGCGACUGAUUCUUUUCUCUUUUCUAUCGUGGCCAUUAAUCUACCGUUAGCCCUAGAACGUUAAAGUAGAUCCUGGUGAUCUACAAAUAUAGUACCUGGCUUUGGAUGGCAGCUGUGCCAGUGCCAUAGCCUUAGUAUGGCCAUACGUCCUUUAAUGCAAGUAGGCCAUGAUCGCUAACUGUGCCCGCGCCUUCGUGAGCUACUUGUGUUCUUGUACGUGUGGCCUUGCGCGUAUAGUCAUGUUACAUAGACAAACAUGGGUGCCUUCCGCGUCCAUGCACAGUAAGUAAACUAACCUGUACUUUUCUUCUAGCAUCAGUCAAGAGGAGCACCGACAUCCCUGCAUGUCCAUCUUAAUUAGAUUGCGUUUUAGUUACAAUAAAAUCUCAAAUGUUAAGUAGUUUUUCUUUCUUGCUUGGCCGCCGUGCCAUUACUAUAUCUAUCUAUAUUACUAUACCUGCUCUGACCUGAGUCUUCAUUCUUCUAUCUUUCUGAUCUGUUUUUCCUAGUGUGUGUGCGUGUGUGUGUGUGUGCGUGAUGACUGACCUGGACUGACGUUUAUCUGACCUUUGGACCAAGACUAAAACUGGAGUUGACUUUACUGCACCAGAAAGGUGAACAACAUUUAUGCUGCAAUACUGACAAGAUGCACACCAAUUAGACGACAAGCAAAUUCAAAUUCUUUCAAAAACAGGUAAAGGUUUUACCUUUCAGGUAAGUAUUAAAGGCCUUUGCCACAUGAUCUUUGUGGGUAAAUCACGUCCACUCAAUUUAUAAAGUUAAUUUGCAUCUAAACAUUUACAAUGCCUGACACAAUGGCAUUACAAUAAUCUCAUUUUUUUUUUCACUGAGUGCAAAGGCCUUUAUUUACACACUGACACAUGCCAAGACUGCUGUCAUGGCAUGUGUGUCUCUCUCUCUCUCUCUCUCUCUCUCUCUCUCUCUCUCUCUCUCUCUCUCUCUCUCUCUCUCUCUCUCUCUCUCUCUCUCUCUCUCUCGCUCUCUCGCUCUCUCUCUCGCUGGUCUGUCUGUCUCUCUCUGUGUCUGUCUCUCUUGCUGUCUGUCUGUCCUGUGUGUCUGGUCUCCGUCUGUCUGUCCUGUGUGUCGGAUUUAGUCACUUUUUUAGUCUCAACUUAAAUGGAUGAUUUUAAAGUUGAUUAGUCUUGAGGCGUCCAAUUUUGAAUUCUGGUACCUUAUUUUGAAAUGGCUUUAAUUUAAAAAUGUAAUUUUGGUCUUGAAUCUGAGUUAUCAUAGUUGCAACUUGGACUGUUGACAAAAGUUCUAAAGUUCUUUCAAAGUCUGUAAAAAUGUAGUAACUGAUUAUGAUGAGCUAGACCAGGUCUUCCUUUAUUCUCCACUGGUAAUUGCUUUGAUAAGAUAACUGGAUCCUGAUUUGAUUAUGAAGCUUAACUUUUGAUUUAUAUGCAAGUGUAGUCACAUUAGAUUGUAGGUGUUAUUCAGCCCAUGGAUAAUGUUAUGAUAUACUUUAAAUCUGGCAUUUGUUGGCACACCUUUGAUAUCAUUUAAGUCUUAAACUUUACGCACUGCCAUCAGCCUUUGUUGUCGCUAACUGAAAUCAAACUCAAUAUUAAUGCUGACUUGUCUCACUCUGCCAAGUUUAUUUCCCUCUAAAGGAGUUGAACCUUUUUGUGUUCAUAGUCUUUUUGCGCGUCAUGUUGGGAGGCCUCCCAGCAGGGGAUUUUUAUCUUCCCCUGCAAAACUAUGCGUUACUCGUCUUAGGGAUGCAGGGCUAUCCUGCAUCGUUUCUUUCUUAAAUGAGAUUGUAGGUUUGAGGAUUAGAGCGCGUUUCUUUUCUUUAGGAGGACACAAACCUGGCAGAGAGACAACUCGGAUUAUUUAAGUGAAAGUUGCACCAAAUGUUCAAACUUUCGAUACGAUGACUUGAAAUAAAACUUUUAUUCUGUGGGCUGAAUUCAGACAGAAAUCAGACAGAAUUUGGCUUAAUGUUAAAGACUGUUGUGCAGCUGCAGCUUUUUAAUGUAUUUUUGGUGAUUUGAUUUGUUUCUUGGAUUGACUUGGUGUCUGGAGCUUUGUGGUUAACAGUGAUCAUGUAAACAUGUAAACACAAGUGGGCUUUUGCCUCUUAUUUGUGAAGCAGGCAGCUGGUUGAAAUGAUAGGACUUUAUGGCUUGCCCAAAAUGGGAUUUUUGAUAGAUCAUAGGGUUAACACCUCACUAUACACUAGCUAUUUAUGUGAAGUGUCUGUAGUCCAUUAUUACCCAUGACUUUCUUUCAAAUUUCACAAUUUAGGCAUCUUGUAGAGUCUUUAGGAAGAUGCUUAAUCCCAAUGUCUUGGUUGGUUGCAUGAGAAACUUCUAUCUCUUAGAUGUGUUGGCGAAGUUCCUCCUCUGAUUUUUGUAGACUUGCCCCAAAGUUUCUCUCCGCUUUAACUCUUGUUGAGCUUUGCAUUAAAUAAUUCCUCCAACUUGUCUCCAUAUCAAUUGUUUUCUCCCUGCAGAUUUCCACCACCCACUGCUGCUGUUGCCUCUGCUAAAGGUAGCCGUAUCCUGAUUCACUGCGUCUUCAUGUGUUGGGUAAGAAGUGUCAUUAGACUAUUAACAAUGUAAACACCUUUAAAUGCUUGAUCUAAUUUACCCAAAUGGUUCAUCAGUUUAGGACAAAAAAAUCAUUGAAUAUGACAUUGUUGGGGUCAGUAAUCUGACCUCCAAAUGUUUGGGAAACCAUGCAAAAGAUCGCAAGCUCUCUGCAUGACCCAACAGCAUCGAUGUUUGAGUUAUUUAAUUGCUCAAUUUUUAAAUCAGUCAAGAUUUUAUGAGCUGGGUCUUCUUCACACAACAGAGAACAAGGUAAAUUGAGUCGACUCGUAACAUGGUAAGGCAGUUUGUCUUUCCCCUUCUUCUCUUUGUGUGAGGAAAUCUGGCCACGGAUCCUGACUGAGUGGCAUACCAUGACUGUGCAGUCUACAAAAUCAGAUAAGGAUCCAUCUGAUUUUGUGACUCAGCCUGUCAUGAUUUGCUUUUAUCUUCCUCUGAAACAAAGGAUUGGAAUGGACAGGUUUGUAGUGUAAAUCACAUCACAUGUAGAUGAUGAAGCAUUUGUUUAAAUUGGAGUCAAGCAUUUUCAGGCGUCUGCUUUGUCAAUACUCUGGUGCCACGUCUUCCCAAACACACGAGAAGCUCUGAAUUGUGAAACUGCUGCCUCUUGCAGAUGUUACAACAGCAAUGGUUGUUGAAAGGCUGCAGGGAGAGAAAAUGAGAUCUGAGGACAGGAAAGUGGAAUUGAUUUCAUGCUUAGCAAAAUGAGGGUUUCAGCAGAAGACCUUUUUGUGGCGAGGCUACGGAAUCAGAAGGAACGUUUGUCUGGGCAACUGGGAGAUUUACAGUUUUUCAUGCAGCCAACCAAGACAUUGAGGUUAGCAUCAUCCCAAAUGGCUGGCAGAGAUUGCUUGUAACUGUCAGUGUAGGACAGGAAAGGCAGGUAUAGGUUAGGGAGGGCAUCCAUCGGUGAGCUCUGACUGGACGUGAGGACCUGUCACACUUGACCAGAGAUGAAUGCUGCAGCACAUUCCUGGAUCAGAGGACUCCAUGUUGGACACCACGACCCUGGAGAAGUCCCGUCCUGGAUGGCUGCAGUGAUGACCUAGCCCAAGAUGAACCGACCCUUCUACGACGAGGACGUCGCCCGAGAUGAACCGACCCUGCUACGACGAGGACUUCGCCAGAGAUGAACCGACCCUUCUACGACGAGGACUUCGCCCUAGAUGAACCGACCCUUCUACCACGAGGACUUCGCCCAAGAUGAACCAACCCUUCUACGAGAAGGACUUCGCUCGAGAUGAACCGACCUUUUCCACCUCUUUUCCACGGGAUGUCUUCAGAUGUUGGACCUUGCCAAACUGUACACAUGCCUCAAUGGCUGCUACGUCACUCUGCCCAACAGGACAUGGUCACCGAGAUUUUUUUUAUUUUUUAAAUGGACAUUUAACCCCACCCUGUCCCCUCUGACCCACAACCACACAUGACAAAACACUGUACAUGUGAUGCAUCACCACACUAAAAUAUGCAUGACCCAACAGCAUCGAUGUUUGAGUUAUUUCAUUGCUCAAUUUUUAAAUCAGUCAAGAUUUUAUGAGCUGGGUCUUCUUCACACAACAGAGAACAAGGUAAAUUGAGUCGACUCGUAACAUGGUAAGGCAUUUCGUCCUUCCCCUUCUUCUCUGUGUGUGUGAGGAAAUCUGGCCACGGAUCCUGACUGAGUGGCAUACCAUGACUGUGCAGUUUACAAAAUCAGACAAGGAUCCAUCUGAUUUUGUGACUCGGCCUGUCAUGAUAUGCUUUUAUCUUCCUCUGAAACAAAGGAUUGGAAUGGACAGGUUUGUAGUGUAAAUCACAUCACAUGUAGAUGGUGAUGGUGUAGAGACACUGCUACUUUCAGCCUGUAAUGUUAGACAUUGAAAACUUGUAUUUAUUGCCUUCUUUAUAUCAAGUAAAACUUUUGUUCUUAACUUUAUGGUUGACUUGUAUUUUUUCUAUGAUGAGUGUUAUUUUGACAAGUUAGUGCUUUGAACUUAAAGAUGUGGAAUUAUUUUAAAAAGAAUUGCACUGAUCUGUUACUGUAGACUUGGCACCUUUUGACACUGCUCCAAGUGUUUGGUUGAUCUUAACCAGAAAACUCAACCCUAUAUGGAUUUGUACAAGGUUUUAAAGGGAAUAUAAUAAAUUGGACUCUAAAGCAGGGAAUGCUACAGUGGAUGGUGAUGCUGCUACUUGCCCCCAUCUCACAACUUCCUUAC